GGCUAUAAUGCAGUCGAGCGAGCCGAACUAAUUGAUUACCUUCGGGUAUGAAGUUAGGGAAGCGAGCGGCGGAUGGGUGAGUAACACGUGGGUAACCUACCCUAUAGUCUGGGAUACCACUUGGAAACAGGUGCUAAUACCGGAUAAAAGGAGAGAUCACAUGAUUUCUUUUUGAAAGGCGGCGUAAGCUGUCGCUAAAGGAUGGACCCGCGGUGCAUUAGCUAGUUGGUAAGGUAACGGCUUACCAAGGCAACGAUGCAUAGCCGAGUUGAGAGACUGAUCGGCCACAUUGGGACUGAGACACGGCCCAAACUCCUACGGGAGGCAGCAGUAGGGAAUCUUCCACAAUGGACGCAAGUCUGAUGGAGCAACGCCGCGUGAGUGAAGAAGGUUUUUGGAUCGUAAAGCUCUGUUGUUGGUGAAGAAAGAUAGUGAGAGUAACUGCUCAUUAUUUGCCGGUAAUCAACCAGAAAGUCACGGCUAACUACGUGCCAGCAGCCGCGGUAAUACGUAGGUGGCAAGCGUUGUCCGGAUUUAUUGGGCGUAAAGCGAGCGCAGGCGGAGAGAUAAGUCAGAUGUGAAAGCCCUCGGCUUAACCGAGGAAUAGCAUCGGAAACUGUCUUUCUUGAGUGCAGAAGAGGAGAGUGGAACUCCAUGUGUAGCGGUGGAAUGCGUAGAUAUAUGGAAGAACACCAGUGGCGGAGGCGGCUCUCUGGUCUGUAACUGACGCUGAGGCUCG
rnacentral:rRNA from 1 species